AUUGAACGCUGGCGGCAUGCCUUACACAUGCAAGUCGAACGGCAGCACGGGUGCUUGCACCUGGUGGCGAGUGGCGAACGGGUGAGUAAUACAUCGGAACGUACCUUAUCGUGGGGGAUAACGCAGCGAAAGCUGUGCUAAUACCGCAUACGCCCUGAGGGGGAAAGCGGGGGAUCGCAAGACCUCGCGCGAUUAGAGCGGCCAAUGCCUGAUUAGCUAGUUGGUGGGGUAAAAGCCCACCAAGGCGACGAUCAGUAGAUGGUCUGAGAGGACGAUCAGCUACACUGGGACUGAGACACGGCCCAGACUCCUACGGGAGGCAGCAGUGGGGAAUUUUGGACAAUGGGGGCAACCCUGAUCCAGCAAUGCCGCGUGAGUGAAGAAGGCCUUCGGGUUGUAAAGCUCUUUUGUCAGGGAAGAAACACCGGCUCUAACACAGUCCGGGAAUGACGGUACCUGAAGAAUAAGCACCGGCUAACUACGUGCCAGCCGCCGCCGUAA
rnacentral:rRNA from 1 species